rnacentral:lncRNA from 1 species
GCCUCGGCGACGCGUAGCCGCGGCUCAAACCAGAAGGGCAACUUGAGGCCUAACGGGGGCGUGGCGGUGGGCGGGCCCGGACGCGAGCGGGCGCCGGCGCGGGCGUCCCCGGACAGGUCGCCACCCCCAGGGGCGGCUUUUCUCCCUUCUGUGUCACCGGGGGGCGCGGGGGACGCGUGCGACGCGGCAGCCAGGCCCUUGGUUUGGUCUGGACGCGCCGUACCACUGGACGCGAGCUGAGCGAGGGGCUCGGGACCUAGUCCUGAGCUGGUGGAAUGACGCCGGGCCACGCCUCGGUCCUCCCCGCAGGGCUGGUGGAGGUAGAGGCCGCUCCUACCACCGCGAGCCUGGCCGAGGCUUCCUGGAAUCGCGCGCCCGGCCUGCCUACCCGGCCGGGGAGGGAAUCACGAACUGCCUGGUUUAGGAGAGGUCGCGAUCCCUUGGAUGCGGGAGCGUGGGUUGGGUUGAGGCCCAAGGCUCCAGCGGAACUCGCUGUGUCCUCCUGGUGGAUCUCGCCCAAGUGUAGGCUUUGAGCGAGGCGUAGCGUUCGCCCUGCGCGCCGCGCGGAGGCGCUGGAGAGGGCGCGAGAGCCAGGGGCGCCCGUGCUCCGGAGGGUACGACUCCCACUCAGCUGCCUGUCAGAAAGUCUGCGCGAGCCUGGGCACUGAAGCCGGGAAGGGCUUCCUAUGGGGAUUCAUUUCUUUAUGGGAAAAACGAAGAGGAGGAGCGACCCCGUCAGCAUGACUGGGUUGAAAGUGUGCCCUUCACAUGCCAUCUGUGUGACUUUGAGCAAGUUCUUCAACUUCUCCGGGUCUCGUUUUCUCAUCUGCAAAAGUGAAUUAAAACACCUGUCUUAUAGGUGGGGUAGUGAGGAUUAAAUGCGCUUUUAUAUUGUCAAGCUCUUAGAACUCACCGGUCUCCGGGUUGUUUAAACGUUAAGAAAAUAGUAGUAAACAUUUAAUAUUAACAUUAAUUAACAUCAGCAUAGAAUCUGACCAAGAAACAGCAGUUAGAGCCCAGAAGAAAUAAAGUUUAGUUUUAUAAAAGAUCUACAAAGACUUCAUGCAUGGAAUUGGUGGAAUUUGAGCUGAAACUUGAAAAAAAUAGUAUAGAUGUCACUUAAUCAUCCAGUAAGUUUCCUGAGCGUUUAUUAUGUGCCAGCUACUGUUCAAGCUUGAGGAUGGUUCUCAUUCAGUUUACCUUCUUAGGAAGCAGGCCACUAACGUCAUGGGGAGAAUUUCC